GCCUGGGUGGCUCAGUCGGUUAAGCAUCCGACUUCGGCUCAGGUCAUGAUCUCACGGUCUGUGAGUUCGAGCCCCGCCUCGGGCU
rnacentral:tRNA from 1 species